rnacentral:tRNA from 1 species
GAGGGUGUAGCUCAAGCCUUAGAGCACGUGCUUAGCUUGCAGGAGGUCCUGGGUUCGAUCCCCAGUACCUCCU